rnacentral:rRNA from 1 species
UUACCAUGCAGUCGAACGAUGAACCACUUCGGUGGGGAUUAGUGGCGAACGGGUGAGUAACACGUGGGCAAUCUGCCCUUCACUCUGGGACAAGCCCUGGAAACGGGGUCUAAUACCGGAUAACACUUCUGCUCUCAUGGGCAGGGGUUAAAAGCUCCGGCGGUGAAGGAUGAGCCCGCGGCCUAUCAGCUUGUUGGUGAGGUAAUGGCUCACCAAGGCGACGACGGGUAGCCGGCCUGAGAGGGCGACCGGCCACACUGGGACUGAGACACGGCCCAGACUCCUACGGGAGGCAGCAGUGGGGAAUAUUGCACAAUGGGCGAAAGCCUGAUGCAGCGACGCCGCGUGAGGGAUGACGGCCUUCGGGUUGUAAACCUCUUUCAGCAGGGAAGAAGCGAAAGUGACGGUACCUGCAGAAGAAGCGCCGGCUAACUACGUGCCAGCAGCCGCGGUAAUACGUAGGGCGCAAGCGUUGUCCGGAAUUAUUGGGCGUAAAGAGCUCGUAGGCGGCUUGUCACGUCGGGUGUGAAAGCCCGGGGCUUAACCCCGGGUCUGCAUUCGAUACGGGCUAGCUAGAGUGUGGUAGGGGAGAUCGGAAUUCCUGGUGUAGCGGUGAAAUGCGCAGAUAUCAGGAGGAACACCGGUGGCGAAGGCGGAUCUCUGGGCCAUUACUGACGCUGAGGAGCGAAAGCGUGGGGAGCGAACAGGAUUAGAUACCCUGGUAGUCCACGCCGUAAACGGUGGGAACUAGGUGUUGGCGACAUUCCACGUCGUCGGUGCCGCAG